rnacentral:rRNA from 1 species
AGCAGCCGCGGUAAUUCCAGCUCCAAUAGCGUAUAUUAAAGUUGUUGCAGUUAAAAAGCUCGUAGUUGAAUUUCGGGAUCAAUAUGUUGGUCGUGCCUUGGUACGUACUGGCAUUAUUGGUUCCUACCUUCUGAAGAACCUCGAUGUCAUUAAUUUGGUGUCUUGGGGAAUCAGGACUGUUACUUUGAAAAAUUAGAGUGUUUAAAGCAGGCUCGCGCUUGAAUACAUUAGCAUGGAAUAAUGAAAUAGGACGUUUGAUUCUAUUUUGUUGGUUUCUAGGAUCGACGUAAUGAUUAAUAGGGAUAGUUGGGGGCAUUAGUAUUCAAUUGUCAGAGGUGAAAUUCUUGGAUUUAUUGAAGACUAACUACUGCGAAAGCAUUUGCCAAGGAUGUUUUCAUUAAUCAAGAACGAAAGUUAGGGGAUCGAAGACGAUCAGAUACCGUCGUAGUCUUAACCAUAAACUAUGCCGACUAGGGAUUGGAUGAUGUUAAUUUUUAAUGUACUCAUUCG